CGAACGAACGCUGGCGGCAUGCCUAACACAUGCAAGUCGAACGAUGCCUUCGGGCAUAGUGGCGCACGGGUGCGUAACGCGUGGGAAUCUGCCCUUGGGUUCGGAAUAACUCAGAGAAAUUUGAGCUAAUACCGGAUGAUGACGUAAGUCCAAAGAUUUAUCGCCCAAGGAUGAGCCCGCGUAAGAUUAGCUAGUUGGUGGGGUAAAGGCCUACCAAGGCGACGAUCUUUAGCUGGUCUGAGAGGAUGAUCAGCCACACUGGGACUGAGACACGGCCCAGACUCCUACGGGAGGCAGCAGUGGGGAAUAUUGGACAAUGGGCGAAAGCCUGAUCCAGCAAUGCCGCGUGAGUGAUGAAGGCCUUAGGGUUGUAAAGCUCUUUUACCAGGGAUGAUAAUGACAGUACCUGGAGAAUAAGCUCCGGCUAACUCCGUG
rnacentral:rRNA from 1 species